AACGACUCUCGGCAACGGAUAUCUCGGCUCUCGCAUCGAUGAAGAACGUAGCGAAAUGCGAUACUUGGUGUGAAUUGCAGAAUCCCGUGAACCAUCGAGUCUUUGAACGCAAGUUGCGCCCGAAGCCAUCUGGCCGAGGGCACGUCUGCCUGGGCGUCACGCGUCUCUUCGCCCCCCCCCCCC
rnacentral:rRNA from 1 species